AUACCUUUCUCGGCCUUUUGGCUAAGAUCAAGUGGUAUCUGUUCUUAUUAGUGGCCAUGUGCCCACAACGAUAUUCAUGUGCCCACAACGAUAUUAAAUUUAUUUUUUGUGGGGAGGGUCCGCCACACUAGCUUGCUAGUGGGGCCCUUGUGUGUCGCUUGGGCGUUGCACUAUUGCCUACGCCAGGCGCACCCCAA
rfam:Hordeum vulgare subsp. vulgare, WGS project CAJW01000000 data, contig: morex_contig_8222